rnacentral:lncRNA from 1 species
ACAUAUUUCAGAACUCUUGCUAAAAAUUUCAAUAAAAAUAAAUGGAGAAAUUCGACAAACAAAACAUGGUUGAUGAAGAAAACAAGACUUGAGGGUGUGUGUCGGUCAACAAAGUAUUUUCUUGUUAAUAUUGAUUAAAUAUAAUUACCACGGGUGUGACCUAUUAUCAAGUAGUAUAUGUUUGAUUAUUACAAAUAAAAUACAUGAGAAAUAUAAA